UUUUAUUGAUUUAAUCAGUAAGUUCAAGUAACAAUCAAAACCAAAUGUGCUUGCUUUUGUACAGUGCGGGUUGUUUCAGAAAGACAGAAGACUUGAUGGUGUGGAGCACCUGCAGUUUCACUGGCCUUGUCUGAUCACACAAGAGUGUAUGAUCACAGAAUGGAUGACCUGAGUGAUUUCCUGAGGCAAAGGAAUAUUCCAGAGGAAACUAUCGAGACCAUGCUGAGAGAGAAGAUUGAUACCAACGUCAUCCAGCUCAUGACAGAUGAAGAGCUAAAGAAUUAUUUGCCAUCAUAUGGAGACUGCAUAGCCCUAUCAGGAUACUGUAAAAGGAAGGAAAAUGGCCCCCCAAGCAGUCGCAAAUCAAAACUGUUUGAGCGCCUGAAAUCAAAGCUGGGUAAAAGAAAAACUGCUCAUGAAGAUGGCUGUGGUAUGGAAAAAGAAGAGCAAUCUGAAACAACUGUAAAGAAGAAUGCUCUGAAGUCAAAGAGAAAAAUAGAAAUAGGCUGGCUGCUUUAUGAUGAAGAACAACAGGCUUUUAAACAAGUAAGAGCAAGAAGAGGUGGUGGAACAAGGAAGGUCGAUGUAUCAAAGGAUGCUAAAAAGAGCAGUCAAAAUUCUACCUCUGGAAAGCCAUGAUGCCAGACAACAAAAUGUAGCUGACUUUUGUUAUGCCAUAAUUAACAUGUUAAUUGUUAGCUGACAUAAUAAAUCAUAAGAGGUAAAGUGAAAAUUACUGUAGGAAGUAUUAAGAAGUUCACAGCCAAAAUAAACAAAAAUAGGAACUGUUUAUUGUUAUUGUAUCUUUUUAUGAGACACAACUAUGUUGACAGUUGUACUUGUUACAUUGCAUUCAUAUUCAUAAUAAAAUCGUUUUCUAAUUUCUUUUUCUUUUUUGCACAUUGGAUUUCUUUUGUGGAAGGUUAUAAAAAGAGUCUUUUUUGUUUUACUGGACACAACUUGGUAAAUUCCUUUAUCUUAAACUUAUUAAAUGCACUUUACACCAAGGCAAGUUUUUUUUAAGCACUUGUGAUUUAUUUUUGGGGAUGUCAA